rnacentral:lncRNA from 1 species
CCCCCUCACUUUGGGGUCGUCCCCCCCCCCCCCUCCUCCCUCCACCUCCUCAUGAAGCGCAGUUUGGGGGGUCCCCCCCCGACCCCCCCCCCUCCUCCCUCCUCCUCCCCCCCCCCUCCAGAGGGUGGGCGGGGAUGGGGGGGCGGGGGGGGGGCGGCGGCGUCGUCCUCAUCGCUGAGGUCGGUGACCUCCACUUCCUCCGAGUCCACUUCCGGUGGGGUGGGGGGAGGGGUGGACCCCCCCGGGCCAGCCGAGGGGUGCACGUGACCGGAAGCGACCCCGUGGCCGGAAGGAAGCCCCGGACCGGAAGUGACCCCUCGACCGGAAGCGACCCCGGGGCUGACGUUCCCGCGACCCGGAGCGACCCCGUCGCCUUCGCCCCCGCCGUGACCUGAGGUGACCCCUUGACCUGAGGUGACCCCAUGACCUGCAGUAACCCCGGGAGCCUCUCCUUGACCCGAAGUGACCCCAUGACCGGAAGUAACCCCACCAGCCUCAUUCUGACCUGAAGUGACCUCGCGACCCGCAGUAACCCCAUGACCGGAAGUAACCGCGUGACCGGAAGUACCCCCGUGACCCGAAGUAACCCCACCUCCCUCUCCUUUCCCCCUCCCCCUCCUCCCGGGCGGGGGGGGCUGCAACUUAAAGGCGAAGGGGGGGGGAGGGGGGGUCGGGGGGGGGUCCCGAUGGGGGUCCCGAUGGGGGUGGGGGGGGGGGCGGGGGGGGGGAGGGGCCAAAAAGGGGCGGGGGCUGAGAUGGUACGCGCACACCCGGGCGGCCAAACAGCGCGCCAGGUCUUCCGCACUGAAGGAGAAGUGGGGGGACCCCCCCCCACCGCCGCCCCCCCCCCCCGAAGUGGGGAGACCCCCCCGAGCCGAAGUGGGGCGACCCCCCCCCCGAAAUGAGGCGAUCCCCCCCCGAAGUGCGGAGAGC